UUAUUUACACUCGAGAGAUGAGAAAAUGAGGUUCAAGGAGAUACACUCAUUCAUUCAACACAUACUUACUGAAUGCUUCACUGUGUGCCAGGUGCUUUUCUAGGCCCAAGACCAAAUGCCUUGGUCCAGGUUCCAGGGGAGCCAGUCCUGAAUGAUACUACAGCACGAUAUUUAUGUUGAUGUUCACGGCGUGCAUACUCAGAUGCGGCCAGGAAGGGAAGAUCAGCAUGGGCUGGGAUCUAGGCCGGAUCUAGGAUCCACCUGCCAAGGCCCAUUAGGCUGUAUGGUCCAGGAAGGUGGGGACCAGAGCCAGCUUCUUUACUUUGGUCCCUCUAAUGCCUAGCACAGUAUAAAGCAGGUCCUGGAUGGCGAAUGAAUGGUGUCACUCUGAACCAGGUGCUGAAAGGUGGGUGGGGUGGAGCGAAGCACAGGGUGAGGAGAGGAGCCGACCCGUUGCUGGGCACAGUUGCAUGUUCAGGGCGUCUGACUCCCUUCUCCCUCUCUCCUCCCAGUCAUUCCUCUUCCAGCUACUAAAAGGGCUGGGAUUCUGUCAUAGCCGCAAUGUGCUACACAGGGACCUGAAGCCCCAGAACCUGCUAAUAAACAGGAAUGGGGAGCUGAAAUUGGCUGAUUUUGGCCUGGCUCGAGCCUUUGGGAUUCCCGUCCGCUGUUACUCAGCUGAGGUGAGCUAGAAGAUGGGAUAUGGGAUUGGGGGAGGGAGUCCCU
rnacentral:lncRNA from 10 species